CUUUGUCUUUGCGCAAUGGGCGGAAGCCUGACGCAGCGACGCCGCGUGGGGGAUGACGGCCUUCGGGUUGUAAACCUCUUUCGACCUUGACGAAGCCUUUCGGGGUGACGGUAGGGGUAGAAGAAGCACCGGCCAACUACGUGCCAGCAGCCGCGGUAAUACGUAGGGUGCGAGCGUUGUCCGGAAUUAUUGGGCGUAAAGAGCUCGUAGGCGGUCUGUCGCGUCGGUCGUGAAAACUUGGGGCUUAACCCUGAGCUUGCGGUCGAUACGGGCAUGACUGGAGUUCGGCAGGGGAGACUGGAAUUCCUGGUGUAGCGGUGAAAUGCGCAGAUAUCAGGAGGAACACCGGUGGCGAAGGCGGGUCUCUGGGCCGAUACUGACGCUGAGGAGCGAAAGCGUGGGGAGCGAACAGGAUUAGAUACCCUG
rnacentral:rRNA from 1 species